GUGAGGAAUAUUGCGCAAUGGAGGCAACUCUGACGCAGCCAUGCCGCGUGCAGGAAGAAGGCGCUACGCGUUGUAAACUGCUUUUAACCGGGAAGAAACCCCAGGACGUGUCCUGGGUUGACGGUACCGGAGGAAUAAGCACCGGCUAACUUCGUGCCAGCAGCCGCGGUAAUACGAAGGGUGCAAGCGUUAUCCGGAUUCAUUGGGUUUAAAGGGUGCGUAGGCGGAGCGUUAAGUCAGUGGUGAAAUCCUGCAGCUUAACUGUAGACUUGCCAUUGAUACUGGCGCUCUUGAGUGAGCUUGAAGUGGGCGGAAUGUGCCGUGUAGCGGUGAAAUGCUUAGAUAUGGCACAGAACACCAAUUGCGAAGGCAGCUCACUAAGGCGAUACUGACGCUGAGGCACGAAAGCGUGGGGAUCGAACAGGAUUAGAAACCCUGGUAGUCC
rnacentral:rRNA from 1 species